UCUGGUGCACAUGAUGACCUGACCUUUUUUCCCCAGCAGAUCGAUCAUGUUGAUUUUGCUGUUUAUUAAAGCCAAAAUUCCUGAAGCACCAAG